rnacentral:tRNA from 1 species
AGGGGUGUAGCAAAAUUUGGUAUUGCAUCUGGCUCUUAACCAGAAAGAAAGUGGGUUCGAUUCCCAUCGCCCCUACCA